AUUGAACGCUGGCGGCAGGCCUAACACAUGCAAGUCGAACGAGUGGCGGACGGGUGAGUAAUGUCUGGGAAACUGCCUGACGGAGGGGGAUAACUACUGGAAACGGUAGCUAAUACCGCAUACCAUCGGAUGUGCCCAGAUGGGAUUAGCUAGUAGGUGGGGUAAAGGCUCACCUAGGCGACGAUCCCUAGCUGGUCUGAGAGGAUGACCAGCCACACUGGUACUGAGAAACGGUCCAAACUCCUACGGGAGGCAGCGAUAGGGAAUAUUGCAAAAUGGGCGCAAGCCUGAUGCAGCCAUGCCGCGUGUAUGAAGAAGGCCUUCGGAUUGUAAAGUACUUUCGGCAGAGAAGCGGUACCCGCAGAAGAAGCACCGGCUAACUCCGUGCCAGCAGCCGCGGUAAUAC
rnacentral:rRNA from 1 species